rnacentral:rRNA from 1 species
GUAGGGAAUAUUGGGCAAUGGAUGCAAGUCUGACCCAGCCAUCCCGCGUGCCGGAAGAAGGCCCUCAGGGUUGUAAACGGCUUUUGACGGUGAAGAAUCGACAGGAUGCGUCCUGUUUUGACGGUAGCCGUUGAAUAAGCACCGGCUAACUCCGUGCCAGCAGCCGCGGUAAUACGGAGGGUGCGAGCGUUGUCCGGAUGUAUUGGGUUUAAAGGGUGCGUAGGCUGGAAGGUCAGUCAGCGGUGAAAAGCUGUCGCUUAACGAUAGUCGUGCCGCAGAUACUUCCUUUCUUGGAUGAGGAGGAGGCCACUGGAACGGAUGGUGUAGCGGUGAAAUGCAUAGAUAUCAUCCAGAACACCGAUUGCGAAGGCAGGUGGCUGUACCUUAAUCGACGCUGAUGCACGAAAGCAUGGGGAGCAAACAGGAUUAGAUACCCUUGUAGUCC